GAUUAUGGCUCAGGAUGAACGCUGGCGGCGUGCUUAACACAUGCAAGUCGAACGAAGCACUUUAAUUGAUUUCUUCGGAAUGAAGUUUUUGUGACUGAGUGGCGGACGGGUGAGUAACGCGUGGGUAACCUGCCUCAUACAGGGGGAUAACAGUUGGAAACGACUGCUAAUACCGCAUAAGCGCACGGGAUUGCAUGAUCCAGUGUGAAAAACUCCGGUGGUAUGAGAUGGACCCGCGU
rnacentral:rRNA from 1 species